GAUUUAAGGGAAAUCACUGGACAGUUUACAGGAUUAAAGGAGAACGCAAACUAGAAGAGAAUCGUCGGCAAAGAAAUGUUUUCAUGGCUGUUUUGCCAUCCUGGAAUCCAGUAUGAAAUGGUUUGCUUUCAUCUUGGAGAUGGCAGGAAACAAUGUGCCGCAGAAGAGGACCAGAUGUUUGCCAGGAAGUACUGUUGCUUCAUUGUUAGCGACAUUUCAAACGACGCCAGUGAUGUCUUCCGAUGUACAACACAGCGGCAUCUACACCGCCAAAAGUGGCAUUGAUGUCCCUCCAUUAGCAGAUGCAUUCAGUAUACUUGCGGUGAAUCUCCUGGCAGGAUGGAGUCCGGUAGUCACAUGAGCAAUUCACACAAUGCCAGCAACAACUUUAAUAGCAAAUGUGGUCCAAUAUGUUUUCACCGAAAACGCUGUAGUUUGUAGUUAUUCACCACAAUAAACCUUAAAUUGGAA